GACGAACGCUGGCGGCGUGCCUAAUACAUGCAAGUCGAACGCACUCUCGUUUAGAUUGAAGGAGCUUGCUCCUGAUUGAUAAACAUUUGAGUGAGUGGCGGACGGGUGAGUAACACGUGGGUAACCUGCCCUAAAGUGGGGGAUAACAUUUGGAAACAGAUGCUAAUACCGCAUAAAACCUAACACCGCAUGGUGCAGGGUUGAAAGAUGGUUUCGGCUAUCACUUUAGGAUGGACCCGCGGUGCAUUAGUUAGUUGGUGAGGUAAAGGCUCACCAAGACCGUGAUGCAUAGCCGACCUGAGAGGGUAAUCGGCCACACUGGGACUGAGACACGGCCCAGACUCCUACGGGAGGCAGCAGUAGGGAAUCUUCCACAAUGGACGAAAGUCUGAUGGAGCAACGCCGCGUGAGUGAAGAAGGUUUUCGGAUCGUAAAACUCUGUUGUUGGAGAAGAAUGUAUCUGAUAGUAACUGAUCAGGUAGUGACGGUAUCCAACCAGAAAG
rnacentral:rRNA from 1 species